rnacentral:lncRNA from 1 species
GGACCUUUUCCAUUCUAGAAAGAUAAAAUAAAAAAAUUAGACGCGCUAUUUGCGUGGGUACCUAGUUUAUAUUAAGAUAAUAGAUAGUGUCGUCUUGGACGAAGCCAAGUAACACUUUAUGCCUUCCGAUUUGGUAUCAUUUGGCAUUAGUUCCAAUUUCUUGACUACACAUGUAUAUGCCUCACUUUCUUUGUUCGAUGAUGGAGCCUCUCAUUCUUCUUCUCGGUAAGCAAAUCAACUGGCUUUCUCAAGAUCUUCUCAAUCCCCUAAUUCUCCCCCACUGCCCGGUUGCAAGCAACCAACAACACUGUGACUGCACACUUCCCUGCAGAAAUCACUGCAGCUCACUAUGAUCCUUGCACAACACACUAUUCUUGUGUACAAUCUAGCAGUCCACUCUAUCCAAGCAACCAGCGGUCCGCAGCUUCCUUCCUUACUCAAAACAUUCACAAAUAUAAAGUUCAGCUGAGCAACCUCAAUUUCUCCUCUUGCACAGAACGCACCAAAGUAUGCAUGUAGGCCUUUGCCUACGGCCAAAGUUCAAUGCCUGUCUUUCGGGGAAAAAAAGUUCAAUGCCUCACCAUGAUGAUCUGUUGCUGCCUUCUUUGUAGUUUGUACUCC